UACGUAGGGACCAAGCGUUGUCCGGAAUCAUUGGGCGUAAAGAGCGUGUAGGCGGCUUGUUAAGUCUUGCGUGAAAUCUCGGGGCUCAACCCCGAGCGGUCGUGAGAAACUGGCAGGCUAGAGUGCGGGAGAGGAGAGUGGAAUUUACGGUGUAGCGGUGAAAUGCGUAGAUAUCGUAAGGAAGACCAGUGGCGAAGGCGGGUCUCUGGACAGUUCCUGACGCUGAGGCGCGAAAGCUAGGGUAGCAAACGGG
rnacentral:rRNA from 1 species